GCUGGGCAUGGUGGCGUGUGCCUGUAGUCCUAGCUACUCGGGAGGCUGAGGUGGGAGGAUUGCUUGAGCCUGGGAGGUCGAGGCUGCAGUGAGCUGAGAUCGAACGACUGCACUCCAGCCUGGACAACAGAGUGAGACCCUGUCUCUA
rnacentral:SRP_RNA from 1 species